rnacentral:rRNA from 1 species
AGUGAACGCUGGCGGUAGGCCUAGCACAUGCAAGUCGAACGGCAGCACAGUAAGAGCUUGCUCUUACGGGUGGCGAGUGGCGGACGGGUGAGGAAUACAUCGGAAUAUAAUUUUUCGUGGGGGAUAACGAAGGGAAACUUACGCUAAUACCGCAUACGACCUACGGGUGAAAGCAGGGGAUCUUCGGACCUUGCGCGAUUGAAUGAGCCGGUGCCGGAUUAGCUAGUUGGCGGGGUAACGGCCCACCAAGGGGACGAUCCGUAGCUGGUCUGAGAGGAUGACCGGCCACACUGGAACUGAGACACGGUCCAGACUCCGACGGGAGGCAGCAGUGGGGACUAUUGGACAAUAGGCGCAAGCCUGAUCCAGCCAUACCGCAUGGGUGAAGAAGGCCUUCGGGUGGUAAAGCCCUUUUGUUGGGAAAGAAAAGCAGCAGGUUAAUACCCCGCUGUUCUGACGGUACCCAAAGAAUAAGCACCGGCUAACUUCGUG